AGCAGCCGCGGUAAUUCCAGCCCCAAUAGCGUAUAUUAAAGUUGUUGCAGUUAAAAAGCUCGUAGUUGAAUUUCGGGAUUAAUAUGUUGGUCGUGCCUUGGUACGUACUGGCAUUAUUGAUUCCUACCUUCUGAAGAACCUCGAUGUCAUUAAUUUGGUGUCUUGGGAAAUCAGGACCGUUACUUUGAAAAAUUAGAGUGUUUAAAGCAGGCUCGCGCUUGAAUACAUUAGCAUGGAAUAAUGAAAUAGGACGUUUGAUUCUAUUUUGUUGGUUUCUAGGAUCGACGUAAUGAUUAAUAGGGAUAGUUGGGGGCAUUAGUAUUCAAUUGUCAGAGGUGAAAUUCUUGGAUUUAUUGAAGACUGACUACUGCGAAAGCAUUUGCCAAGGAUGUUUUCAUUAAUCAAGAACGAAAGUUAGGGGAUCGAAGACGAUCAGAUACCGUCGUAGUCUUAACCAUAAACUAUGCCGACUAGGGAUCGGAUGAUGUUAAUUUUUAAUGUACUCAUUCGGCGCCUUAAC
rnacentral:rRNA from 1 species